GAUGAACGCUAGCGGCAGGCUUAACACAUGCAAGUCGAGGGGCAGCAUAAAUAGUAGCAAUACUAUUGGUGGCGACCGGCGGACGGGUGCGUAACGCGUAUACAACCUUCCCUAAACAGGGGGAUAAUCUGGAGAAAUUCGGUCUAAUACCCCAUAACAUCAGAGCAGGCAUCUGUUUUGGUUAAAAUUUCCGGAGGUUUAGAAUGGGUAUGCGUAGCAUUAGCUAGUUGGUGAGGUAACGGCUCACCAAGGCGACGAUGCUUAGGGGGACUGAGAGGUUAACCCCCCAAACUGGUACUGAGACACGGACCAGACUCCUACGGGAGGCAGCAGUGAGGAAUAUUGGUCAAUGGGCGGAAGCCUGAACCAGCCAUGCCGCGUGCAGGAUGACGGUUCUAUGAGUUGUAAACUGCUUUUGUACGAGGGUAAAGUGGGCUACGUGUAGCCUUUUGAAAGUAUCGUACGAAUAAGGAUCGGCUAACUCCGUGCCAGCCGCCGCCGUAA
rnacentral:rRNA from 1 species